rnacentral:rRNA from 1 species
UACGUAGGAGGCGAGCGUUGUCCGGAUUCACUGGGCGUAAAGGGCGCGUAGGCGGCGGCUUGAGUCCCUGCGUGAAAUCUCCCGGCUCAACCGGGAGGGUGCGCGGGAUACUGGGCGGCUUGAGGACAUCAGAGGAGAGCGGAAUCCCCGGUGUAGUGGUGAAAUGCGUAGAUAUCGGGGGGAACACCAGUGGCGAAGGCGGCUCUCUGGGGUGCACCUGACGGCUGAUGCGCGAAAGCGUGGGGAGCGAACCGG